GUGGGGAAUAUUGGUCAAUGGACGGAAGUCUGAACCAGCCAAGUAGCGUGCAGGAUGACGGCCCUAUGGGUUGUAAACUGCUUUUGUACGGGAAUAAAGUCGGGGACGUGUCCCCGUUUGUAUGUACCGUAAGAAUAAGGACCGGCUAAUUCCGUGCCAGCAGCCGCGGUAAUACGGAAGGUCCGGGCGUUAUCCGGAUUUAUUGGGUUUAAAGGGAGCGCAGGCUGGAGAUUAAGCGUGACGUGAAAUGCCGCGGCUCAACCGUGGAAGUGCGUCGCGAACUGGUUUCCUUGAGUGUAUUCGACGUCAGCGGAAUUCGUGGUGUAGCGGUGAAAUGCUUAGAUAUCACGAAGAACUCCGAUUGCGAAGGCAGCUGGCGAGGCUAUAACUGACGCUAAAGCUCGAAGGUGCGGGUAUCGAACAGG
rnacentral:rRNA from 1 species